AACGAACGCUGGCGGCAUGCCUAACACAUGCAAGUCGAACGAGACCUUCGGGUCUAGUGGCGCACGGGUGUGUAACGCGUGGGAACCUGCCCUUGGGUUCGGAAUAACUCCCCGACAGGGGUGCUAUUACCGGAUAAUGUCUUCGGACCAAUGAUUUAUCGCCCUUGGAUGGGCCCGCGUUGGAUUAGCUAGUUGGUAGGGUAAAAGCCUACCAAGGCGACGAUCCAUAGCUGGUUUGAGAGGCUGAUCAACCACACUGGGACUGAGACACGGCCCCGACUCCUACGGGAGGCAGCAGUGGGGAAUAUUGGACAAUCGGCGAAGGGCUGAUCCAGCAAUGCCGCGUGAGUGAUGAAGGCCUGAGGGUUGUAAAGCUCUUUUACCCGGGAUGAUAAUGACAGUACCGGGAGAAUAAGCUCCGGCUAACUACGUG
rnacentral:rRNA from 1 species